UCUGCUGUCGCAACUGAGUCAGGGUUAUCAAUUUUGCCUCCGGUUGUCUCCAAAAUUGUGGAUCGAUCCCUCUUCAGUUCGGUCCCUGGAAAAGAAAAAAAGCCCACACUACUAAAUUUGGAGGCAGCAACCUGAAGGGGAAGGAAAAGCUGCCACUGCUCGGAACCCGGAGUAUGCAGCACAAUAAAACGCCCGGCAGCAGCAGUAGGAGGAGGAGGAGGGGGAGGAGGAGUAGCAGCAGCAGGACGUCAAGUCAUCGGCAGGAACUCCCAAAUUAAAUGAAUUUAAAUAAAUGGUGUAAUCAAAUGUUAAAUGUCGCUCUGUUCUUCUUAAACCAAGUGAGUGGGCAAAUGAGGACUGUAUCUGCAGAUCCGCCCAGAGCUGUUUUUUUUUUUAACAUCCUGACAACAUUCUGGCGACCUCCAACAUGGGUUUCAAUGUUGCUAUAACGUUGCGGUUACGUGGACAUUAAGUUGCAGGAAGGUUGCCUGCAUGUCUCCGAUAUGUCGCGGUAAUGUUGCUAAAUAACGUGGCGGCAACAUCACGGCGUCUUUCACUUUUCCGGUUGCCGCCACGUUGGAAAUUAACGCGGUGGCAACGUAAACAUUGGUUGGAAAAUCACGUUGCGGCCACGUGAUGGCCACGUUAGUGUGU